rnacentral:misc_RNA from 1 species
UGCCGGAUCCAGCGAAGUCUG